UACGGAGGGGGCUAGCGUUAUUCGGAAUUACUGGGCGUAAAGCGCACGUAGGCGGCUUUGUAAGUCAGAGGUGAAAGCCUGGAGCUCAACUCCAGAACUGCCUUUGAGACUGCAUCGCUUGAAUCCAGGAGAGGUGAGUGGAAUUCCGAGUGUAGAGGUGAAAUUCGUAGAUAUUCGCAAGAACACCAGUGGCGAAGGCGGCUCACUGGCCCGGUACUGACGCUGAGGUGCGAAAGCGUGGGGAGCAAACAGG
rnacentral:rRNA from 1 species